AACGAACGCUGGAGGCAGGCUUAACACAUGCAAGUCGAGCGCCCCGCAAGGGGAGCGGCAGACGGGUGAGUAACGCGUGGGAGUCUACCCAUCUCUACGGAAUAACGCAUGGAAACGUGUGCUAAUACCGUAUACGUCCUUCGGGAGAAAGAUUUAUCGGAGAUGGAUGAGCCCGCGUUGGAUUAGCUAGUUGGUGGGGUAAAGGCCUACCAAGGCGACGAUCCAUAGCUGGUCUGAGAGGAUGAUCAGCCACACUGGGACUGAGACACGGCCCAGAAUCCUACGGGAGGCAGCAGUGGGGAAUAUUGGACAAUGGGCGCAAGCCUGAUCCAGCCAUGCCGCGUGAGUGAUGAAGGCCCUAGGGUUGUAAAGCUCUUUCACCGGUGAAGAUAAUGACGGUAACCGGAGAAGAAGCCCCGGCUAACUUCGUGCCAGCAGCCGCCGUAAGAC
rnacentral:rRNA from 1 species